GGAUGUGAGGGUGAUCUGGCUGCAACAUCUGUCACCCCAUUGAUCGCCAGGGUUGAUUCAGCUGAUCUGGCUGGCUAGGCGGGUGUCCCCUUCCUCCCUCAUCAAUUCAUGUGUGUCCCUCCUGAAGCUGUGUGCUCAGUCAAAGAGGACGGCCUUCCCCAAAUAGAGACGGACCUGUCUUCAGUCGAAAGUAUAGGAGUAGCUGCGCUGGCCUGCUAGAACCUCCAAACAAGCUCUCAAGGUCCAGAAUGCUCCAUCUUACAACUCACCCUGGUGAGCAGAGCUGCUACCACUGAAGAUGCCCCUUUCUACCUCAUUUAUACAGAAGUUGAGCUCACAG
ensembl:misc_RNA 7SK 7SK RNA